rnacentral:tRNA from 1 species
AGUCUUAUAUUCAAAAAUAAUGAUAUAAAAUUGCAAAUUUUAAGUUGAAAAAUUUUCUAAGGCUU